rnacentral:misc_RNA from 1 species
GUGAAGAACGCAGUGAAAUGCGAUAAGUAGUGUGAAUUGCAGAAUUCAGUGAAUCAUCGAAUCUUUGAACGCACAUUGCGCCCGCUAGUAUUCUGGCGGGCAUGCCUGUUCGAGCGUCAUUUCAACCAUCAAGCCCUGUUUAGGCUUGUGUUGGGGCCCUGCGGUUGCCGCAGCCCCCUAAAUGCAGUGGCGGGCUCGUUGUCACUCCGAGCGCAGUAGCGUAUCUCGCUCUGGGCGUGGCGGCGGGUGCUAGCCGUGAAACACCCACUAAGGUUGACCUCGGAUCAGGUAGGAAUACCCGCUGAACUUAAGCAUAUCAAUAAGCGGAGGA